rnacentral:lncRNA from 1 species
GACAAUUUCUCUCAACAUAACAGCUAUAUCCAUGACAUCAGGAACAUAUUCUAGCAUGAAUCUAUAUAACAUCAACGCUGCCGGGGCUUGCUCCAAUGAUGGGUACAGAACAUCAAAGUCUAUAACAGUAUAUGUCUCCUCUGAUAGUGGGCCUACUUCUAGCAGCUUGUCCAGAAAUUCCAAUAAUGAUGCAACUGUAUAUAAAUAGCCCUUCAAGUGCAUUAGAGCCCAUGUUGCUAUUGCCUUUUCUAACUGAUACAAGGGCGAAGACGUCUUGUCCAUCAUCAGUCUUAGCACUACAGGCGUCGUGUGCAAUUUCACAUAUCCGAACAGUCUAGGAGCAUAUACAUUAGCACUGUAUGGCCCUGGGAUGGUAGGAAAUGACAUAGGCUUAAAAUCUUCCUGCAGUGGGAGUGUGUAAGGCACGGAUAAGGAUGAGUAAUGAGACUUAAAUGACACGGGUAUAGAGACUACAUUUGUAUAAAAAGCAACUUCCUUUAUUAGAGAGAGAGUAUUUUACAGUACA